UACGUAGGGCGCAAGCGUUGUCCGGAAUUAUUGGGCGUAAAGAGCUCGUAGGCGGUCUGUCACGUCUGCCGUGAAAACCCGAGGCUUAACCUCGUGGCUUGCGGUGGAUACGGGCAGACUAGAGGUAGGUAGGGGAGAACGGAAUUCCCGGUGUAGCGGUGAAAUGCGCAGAUAUCAGGAGGAACACCGAUGGCGAAGGCAGGUCUCUGGGCCACUACUGACGCUGAGAAGCGAAAGCAUGGGGAGCGAACAGG
rnacentral:rRNA from 1 species